rnacentral:rRNA from 1 species
UACGUAGGGUGCGAGCGUUAAUCGGAAUUACUGGGCGUAAAGCGUGCGUAGGCGGUUCGUUAAGUUCGUUGUGAAAGCCCCGGGCUCAACCUGGGAACUGCAAUGGAAACUGGCGGGCUUGAGUGUGGCAGAGGGGGGUGGAAUUCCGCGUGUAGCAGUGAAAUGCGUAGAGAUGUGGAGGAACACCGAUGGCGAAGGCAGCCCCCUGGGUCAAGACUGACGCUCAUGCACGAAAGCGUGGGGAGCAAACAGG